CGGCUCCUAGCUCAACGGUAGAGCAGGUGUCUUAUACACACCUGGUUCCAGGUUCGAAUCCUGGGGAGCCGACCA
rnacentral:tRNA from 1 species